CAGAGGGAGAAGGAGGAAGCAGGGAUGUUUGACCUUACGGCAUUUGUCUUCCCAAGCAACUGUUAGGAAUGAUGAAGCUCUGCUUUCCUGGCAAUGGCUAAACCACUCCCAGUCGAUGUGAGGGGUUGCAGCAUAUCUAAUUGAGGAUUUUCCAUCCUUUUGGUAAAAAUUGGACCCAUCUGUGAACCACAUUGAAUAUCCUGUGGCACGAAGUCAGCAACGGAGCUUUUAUCUGGUGAGAGAUACGUAAACAGGAGUUCAGCUGUCUGCAAUCCAAGACACAGCUGUGUCACCCUCUCUCAGACUUGUGAGGAAAUUGCUAAAUUCUGAGCCAGAACUGUGAAGAUGUUGAUAGCAUGGACUUCUGCAAGUUGAGAGGUAAAAUUGCACAGAAAGGCUAGAUGGGUCAUGCUUUUCUGGAUUAGAUUUAGAAGAAGGGAAAAGAAGCAAAAGAUUAAAGCACGCCUUUUGUGUUGUUU